rnacentral:rRNA from 1 species
GACGAACGCUGGCGGCGUGCCUAAUACAUGCAAGUGGGACGCAAGAGGACACACUGUGCUUGCACACCGUGUUUUCUUGAGUCGCGAACGGGUGAGUAACGCGUAGGUAACCUGCCUAUUAGCGGGGGAUAACUAUUGGAAACGAUAGCUAAUACCGCAUAAUAUUAAUUAUUGCAUGAUAAUUGAUUGAAAGAUGCAAGCGCAUCACUAGUAGAUGGACCUGCGUUGUAUUAGCUAGUUGGUAAGGUAAGAGCUUACCAAGGCGACGAUACAUAGCCGACCUGAGAGGGUGAUCGGCCACACUGGGACUGAGACACGGCCCAGACUCCUACGGGAGGCAGCAGUAGGGAAUCUUCGGCAAUGGACGAAAGUCUGACCGAGCAACGCCGCGUGAGUGAAGAAGGUUUUCGGAUCGUAAAGCUCUGUUGUAAGUCAAGAACGUGUGUGAGAGGGAAAGUUCACACAGG